GUUUUUUUCUUUCUUCAAAAAUGCUGGCCUCUCAUCAACUCUACUCUCUCCUUCAUUUAGCAAUAAUCAAUGUCAUUAUUUCAUUUACCCGUUAUUAAAAGUUCCAGUUUUUUUCCCCUUAUUCUCACAGCAAAAUUUAAGCUAAAAUAAAAGUCCCUUAUUUUGAAUUUCUUUUUUCAAUUUUGAAUCCCUCCUCAGAGUGUGUUAUCCUCCUUUCUCAAAUCACCUCCUUCUCUCGCCAUCUUCACAUUGCAACUACAGUAUGACUCGCCCUCACCGGAAAAGAUUCGACCACCACACACCACUCGCCUCUCACCUCUCUCUGCUCGACCACACCACCUUUCUCUCUCUCUCUCUCUCUCUCUCUCUCUCUCUCUAUUUUUGCUCGGCCGCUCGGCCGCUCGGCCGAGUUUUCAAAUCAAAAUCACGGGAAAAGCCAGUCGCCACCGCCGUCACCACAAAAGCUUUCUCUAUCUCCUUCUCCCUUUUGUCUCUCAUUUUCUCUAUGCGACAUACAGAUUCAAUUUUUCUAGGUUUUAGGUUUUUGGAAAAUUUUGAUUUGUUUCUUUGAUGGAUUGAUUGAUUGAAUAAGUAUAGAUAAUAGAUAGACUCAAUCCUUCUUAUUGUGUUGUCAUGUUGAGUUAGAAAAUUUUGAUUGAUGAUGUUGUCAUGUUGAGUUAGAAAUUUUUUGUGUUGUUAACCUUUAACUUAGAAUAAAAAAUAUGGUGUUGAGUUAGAAAAUUUGAAGAAAUUUGGUUGAAAUAUAUUGUUAUUUAGAUGUGAAUGUUGUGCAAUCAAUUAUUCUUUUCGUUUCAUUUUUCUCAAUUUUUGUUAUAAAAACCCUCCGAUGAUGCAUAUUCAUAAUUUUUCUCUGCAUAAUAUGGUUUGGUUUCUCUUUGUUUUCACUCUAAGUAUAAAAAACUAAACAAGAUCGUUUUUUCCUUCUGCUUCUCAAAUUGAUUCAAUAGGAUUGAAAUUUGUGGUUUUGGUUUUGUUACAUGUCCACAACCAUUUGUGAGUUUUGGGGUUGAAACACUGUUGGCAUUUUAUUAAUGUCUAAUGUUUUUCUGGUUUUAGGAAAAACUUUACCAGUGGAUUUCGAGACAGCAAGAGGGUGGAUCAAGAGUUGCAACAUAUACUUAACUACCGAUAACGGCUUCAGUUAAAACUUUUCAAUCAUAGCUCACAGUUCAAAAUUCUAAUAAUGUAUACGGUUGAUUUUUCAAAACCUUGGUGAUGUGAUUCUUUGUGCUGCUCCCAUCUCGCUUCAUCUCCUACCUCGCAUCUUCUCCUUUCUGUCACCGUGGUCCGCAUUAUGCGGUAUUCAUCCUCAAAAUUUCUUCGUCAUUACAUGUACCAGCGUCGUCAUCCUCCUCACAUGAGCUACCUACUCUCACCCAUGUCUUCCUUGAUGAAUAAUGAAAUAUUCGAGAACAUGACAAAAGCCAACCCCUCAUCCUCACAAAAGAGUAGUACAUCGCCAAGGAGAGGAAUAUGAGGCUAAAGAUCAUCAUGUUCCUAUCCUCAGUACUUUUUCUUUAACAAAAGCUACAAUGAUUAAGCUACAAUCAAUAUUUCAUAUUUAUUGAUAUAAUCAACAACCUCAUAUGGAUCAAUGAAGUCAAUCACAAUCAAUUUGACUUCUUGAAUCAAAUGACAAGGAUGGAGAAAGUGAGUUCAAGGGGAAUUGCAGGAAUUAUAUUUGGGAUCUUUUGCAUAUAAAAGAGGAUUUCAACGUUAUUGAUGGAAUGACAUAUGGCUUCAGGAUGUACCACCGUAUCUUUUGUUUUUGAGGAAUGUGGAAUCUUUUCACAUUGGAUCAUUGAUCUACAGAUGUUAAUAUUCCUAAUAUAGGGUUUCAUAAUCAUCAUCAUCAUCGUCGUCGUCAUCUCUUUCAACUCGGCAAUAGCUCUCUUUUGUUGUUUUACCAUGAUUGUGCUGAGCUGUUUCAGGAGGUUGGGUGCAACUUAAGGGUCCAGCUAUAGACACUGUCCUUGCAUCAAUGGAAUAUUUUCUUCAAAUUGGACAAGAGUGCAAUGUUUUCGUCAUUGUUGUUUCAAUUCAGCACACUAAAAGAGUUUAAGGGGUACUAUUUUUUUAAGGAUGUCUUCUUUGACAUUUCAAGCGCAUCAUAAGAGUUUAAGGGGCCUGCUUUUGUUGUAAAUGACAGAUUUGUCGAGUUGCUUACAAACUGCGCUGUCAUGACUCGAUUGUAGAGAUUAUACAUGGUUUUCAAGAACCAUUAUUGUUAAUUCAAAUCUCAACAUGGCGAGGCUCGGGAUCAUAUUUGAUAAUUGAUAUGAAUAAGUAUAUAAGUAUAUUUCUAGAGGAUUGGGGCUGUAGAUUUGGAUGUUCUCUUUAUAAUGCUAAAGAAAAAUAAUCUCCUUUGUAUAUAUUUUCAGACCCGCUAAGAAGCGAAAGGGAAAAUAAGAAGAGUUAACUACAAUUUCUCAGUUGGAAUGAUUUUAUUGUGUUAAUCCUCACAUGAAUGAUGUUUAUCAUCAAUUUUGUUAGCAAGUUUAUCAUUUUUUUAUAUAAAAAAUAGUGUUCAUAU